AUACGUAGGUGGCAAGCGUUGUCCGGAUUUACUGGGCGUAAAGGAUGCGUAGGUGGAUACUUAAGUGGGAUGUGAAAUACCCGGGCUUAACCUGGGUGCUGCAUUCCAAACUGGGUAUCUAGAGUGCAGGAGAGGUAAGUGGAAUUCCUAGUGUAGCGGUGAAAUGCGUAGAGAUUAGGAAGAACACCAGUGGCGAAGGCGACUUACUGGACUGUAACUGACACUGAGGCAUGAAAGCGUGGGGAGCAAACAGGAUUAGAUACCCUGGUAGUCCACGCCGUAAACGAUGGGUACUAGGUGUGGGAGUUGUCAUGACUUCCGUGCCGCCGUUAACACAAUAAGUACCCCGCCUGGGGAGUACGGUCGCAAGAUUAAA
rnacentral:rRNA from 1 species